rnacentral:rRNA from 1 species
GAUGAACGCUGGCGGCGUGCCUAAUACAUGCAAGUCGAGCGAACAGACGAGGAGCUUGCUCCUCUGACGUUAGCGGAGGACGGGUGAGUAACACGUGGAUAACCUACCUAUAAGACUGGGAUAACUUCGGGAAACCGGAGCUAAUACCGGAUAAUAUAUUGAACCGCAUGGUUCAAUAGUGAAAGACGGUUUUGCUGUCACUUAUAGAUGGAUCCGCGCCGCAUUAGCUAGUUGGUAAGGUAACGGCUUACCAAGGCAACGAUGCGUAGCCGACCUGAGAGGGUGAUCGCCCACCCUGGAGCUGAGACACGGACCAGGCUCCUACGGUAGGCAGCAGUAGGGAAUCUGCCGCAAUGGGCGAGAGCCUUACGGAGCAACGCCACGUGAGUGAUGAAGGUCUUCGGAUCGGAAAACUCUGUUAUUAGGUAAGAACAAAUGUGGAAGUAACUAUGCACGUCUUGACGGUACCUAAUCAGAAAGCCACGGCUAACUACGUG